GCCGAGGUAGCGAAGCCCGGUUCAACGCGCACGCCUGGAAAGCGUGUGGCCUCACGGCCCCCUGAGUUCAAAUCUCAGCCUCGGCG
rnacentral:tRNA from 1 species